rnacentral:rRNA from 1 species
GACGAACGCUGCGGCGUGCUUAACACAUGCCAGUCGCACGGAAAGGCCCUGCUUUUGUGGGGUGCUCGAGUGGCGAACGGGUGAGUAACACGUGAGUAACCUGCCCUUGACUUUGGGAUAACUUCAGGAAACUGGGGCUAAUACCGGAUAGGAGCUCCUGCUGCAUGGUGGGGGUUGGAAAGUUUCGGCGGUUGGGGAUGGACUCGCGGCUUAUCAGCUUGUUGGUGGGGUAGUGGCUUACCAAGGCUUUGACGGGUAGCCGGCCUGAGAGGGUGACCGGCCACAUUGGGACUGAGAUACGGCCCAGACUCCUACGGGAGGCAGCAGUGGGGAAUAUUGCACAAUGGGCGGAAGCCUGAUGCAGCAACGCCGCGUGCGGGAUGACGGCCUUCGGGUUGUAAACCGCUUUCGCCUGUGACGAAGCGUGAGUGACGGUAAUGGGUAAAGAAGCACCGGCUAACUACGUG